CCUGCAUUUGUUCAGUUACAAGUUAAUGCGUGGCAAUGAGUCCCAAAAAGAAGAUGUCCAAAAAGGAGCGGGCCCGGCUGGAGGCUGAACAAGCCGAACACCAGCGGAUGGAACUGGAACGGGAAAGGCAACGAAAGGUCGAGGAGGAAAAAAUGCGCAAGGUGCGGGAGAAGGAGGAGGCCGAACGCAAACAGGUCCAGGAGAUUGUAGCGAACAAGAUGCGGAAGGUCCAGCUGGAAGAGAGUUACAAAUAUUUUUCCUCAAUUACGGAUGAGGUGAAACAUUUACAUGGACAGCUGAAAAAGGAUCGAGAAUGGCAGCAGUACAUGCGGUGCAACGGUUUGCCGAAUGCGUUUGAUCCUGCGGAUUUGAGGAAAUAUUUACACAUCUGGUGCGAUAACAUACGGUUGUGUAACGAGCGGGAGCAGAACUGGCUGCUGUUCACCAACGAGCAGAGCAUAUUGACUCAAGACGGUACCGUUGCCAACAUGUCGCGCGAGAGUCUGAAGCAACAGCAGCCGGAAAUCGGAAACGUAUAUGCAGCCAAAGCGAAGGAAGUUUUGGGGAUAUUGGAAGAGAUAGACGACGCACUGCACGACGCGGAUAUCACACAGUCGAUGAUUGAUGAUUUACACGAGAUGAAAACCGAAUUCCGACGAGUCCUGUCGAACUACAUCGACGAGCUGGCGUACAAGAUUUUGUGCAACAUCAACCGGGACAUGGAACUCACCGGAUUGCUCGAAGUGACACACAAGUACGAAUCGGAUGUGUUCAAAACACAACUUUACGGGCUCCGAGAUAUGCCGACACCACAGCUCAAUCCGAAGGAAAAGGCCAAAGAGGACAGCAAGCACACUGAUAUUGACUUUCCACUGCUCGGUUUUCAUUUGGUGCUGCCAGCUGCUGUUAAGUGCCAUCACUCAGCAAUAAGGGGUUUAUGGAUAAGUUAUGAUCAUUUCAGUGACUAUUGUCCGACGUACGGCAUGCCAUACCGCCAGGAUCACCGAGCUGAUCUACGAAUUAUUAGCCGUAUCGAAUGGAAGAAACGGAAGGAAAUCCUUAAAGCCGUUUACGAGGAGCCACGCGAAAAGCGCCCGGACGAUUCCGAGGACGACGAGAGAUCGCACCAGUUUAUCGAUGUCGAUAAAAUUUAUACGGAACACGCGGACGAACUGAUGAAAAAGGAACGCACCAAGAAGGGCACCAAAGCGCUGAAUCUGUUCGAGCACGACGUUAACAUGAGAAGCCAUCGCAUAAUCGCCGGUGUUUAUUGCAUCGAUUAUCUGGAGCAGCCGAUACAGAACGUUAAAAUCAGAAAGAAAUCGUUACUGCGGACUGUGCCCCAGCCAGGAAAACUAACGAAAAAGAAAUUCUAUCAACCGUACCGACCGCCACCCACUCCACAGCCAGGGGUGCGCCGGCUGCCCGAGGAAAUCGAAGCCGAGAUCAAACAGAUGGAGGAAAACCUCGACAAGCUGGCCCUGAUAACACUGGAGCUGCCGGAGACAGUGUUCUGGUUCGAGCCGCCGAUUGUAUGCCGCUGGGAGCAGAUGGAAGAAACACUCGAAUCGGAACCCAGUUUCUCCAAAUACCUGGAGAAGCACAAGCAGAUGGUGCAGGCCUCCAAGGAGCGCAAAGCCAAAGCAUCCCGAGACCGGCGGACAAAGUACAUUGAAGAUUUCAACAUCCUCGAUAUUCCACCGCACGUGGCUCUCAGCUCAAUCGUGUCGGACUUUGUAGUGCCAAAGCUGCCGGAAAAUUAUACGGUGAAAAUUGUUCCACAGGACGAUAAGAAAAAAAGCCAGCGUAUGUUGAGCGGCGGGAAAAAGUCUCGCGAGAAGAAAAAGAAACUUAGUAAAGCACCAUCCUGUACUGCCAUAACCAAUAUCAUUUACGAAACAAAACUACCCUCCUAUAUGUAUCCACCAGGCUGCGGUAGCAAGAUACUGAAAAUUUGGGACCGUAAAAGCAAACAGUGCUACCCAUCGCUACCGGAGGAAAGUGACGAUCCGGGUGAAUAUGAUGAUUCCGAUAAUGAUGGUGGAAAACCAGUCAGUAGCAGUCGAAAGAAGCAGUAUCUAUUUUCAAAGUUCAUGAAAGAUUUAGACGAACUGAUUGACACUAAAACACCAAAGUUUGAUUUCAAAAUUGAGGAAAUUGUUGCUACUGUGGGAAAAGCGGAGCAAGGCAGACAUAGUAUAUUAUUUAUGCGAGCGGAGGAACGAGCGCGGGAAAGGGAACGGAAGAAGCCUGUGCAGAAGAGCAAAUUCGACUCGGACGACGAAGCGGUUGACUACGGAGAUAUUCUAGAGGUGGGCAAUUACGUUAUGGUGGACAGGGAGAGGGAGUAUGUGGGGAAAUGGACAACCAGAGAUAUUCAUGAUGUGAAAUUCAAUGAGGACAAACUAACCAUCCAGUUCCGGAUAGGGCGGUUGGGGGCCAUUGGAUUUGCCGCUAACCGAUAUAGCAAUUUGCCGUAUCAAACGUGGGAACUGAAACCUGACAUCAAGAACCCGGGUAGCGCGAUAUUCAGUCUAACCGCUGCCGUUGUGAGCACGGAAAUCACCAUCACCGAGGCGGGAUUCCGGGUCAACUCGCUGCAGGGUGGACCGACACAGGCAUUGCAGGACUCUAUCGGACAGGUUAUGCCACUGCGAAAAAUGAUCAGUAUGUUACGCUCGGCCGCGGUCGAUCUAUUUCCGGAAGACGACGCGUUCAACUAUUCUGAGGGUUCAUGCGAGAAGAACCCGAUUAUGGAGUCUCACCUGUACGACUGUAUGGGGCUGCUGGUGGCAACACACAACUUUGGUUCGUCUCGCUGGAAUUUGCUGUCCGGGUGUCGGAUGUGUGUUCUGUUGAUGCGCGAAAUCGUUGAACAUCGGCGUGUGCCGAAUCAUUCCACGUUGCUGGUGACUCCGCUGAAGGCAACUAUUGUGGACUCGUUGGAGGUUUCACCCGUAUUCAACACCACCCCGGUCGAGAGCAUGGGGCACUACGCCGAUCUGUACCAUCUGGCACGGGAACACUCGCAGCCAUCGUCCAAACUGAAGCAGGAAAACACGAGCCCAAUCCUGAGAGACAACGUCGUGCAGUUGCUGAAAUCGGUUCGUCCUUUAUGUUUCUCGUAGGCCAGUUAAGGUGAAAAUGUACAGCUAUUAGUUUGGCUCUUCCUCUAAUAAGUCGUGAUUUGCAGACAACACGUCACCAAAAUGAAAAUUGAUUACCGCCGCUGAAGGAAAGCAGCCGUCGCGCCGUCGGUGAUCCGUCACAAUAAAACACAAUCGAUAAUCUGGACGAAUAGCACCGCCUACUAGAAGAUGCU